UAGCCCAGUGGUGUGAGGCUAAUGGCAUGGAACCGCCCAAGCGCACUUCCCGUCCGAGUAAGCCCCCAUUGGCAUGUUCCUCGGGCGAACACACGAAAAUUGUUGACCUCAUCAGUAAGUUAUCCUCUCCCAACCUCGAAAGCCAGCGAUCAGCUGCUGGUGAGCUUCGCCUCCUCGCCAAACGCAGCGCUGAUAACCGUCUCUGUAUUGCCGAGGCUGGUGCGAUACCACUACUUGUAUCCUUACUCUCAACGUCCGAUCCUCGUACCCAGGAGCAUGCAGUUACCGCUCUUCUGAACCUCUCCAUCUG
rnacentral:misc_RNA from 1 species